GUACCAAUAGCGAUCUACCUAGCA
rnacentral:miRNA from 1 species